GCCGCACAAUGUCUAAGGAUCAACAGUCAAAACAUCAUUUUUAUACUUCUACUACGCCCAAAAAGAUAGAGGCGUUAACUUACAAAGCAAGUGUGUCCUUGGCCCAAUCCCAGUUCUAUUCCUUAUAGGAUAACUGCAAGUACCCCUUGGCCCCCCUUGUGGUGUCUGUGUUGUCUGUCGACUAUGUGUGUGUGUCUCUAACCUGUGUCCUGUUUCUCACAAAACAGACAUACUAAAUCUUUCUCUCCCCGGCAACCGCUUGAACAGGGUUUCCUAUUCUCCUACUUGCUCCUUCAGUUUCAGCUCAUAUUACAAACAAUUAAUAUUCUGCUUCAUUGGUUACAACAGCUUAUAACAGUUCACUAACUAAUACAAUCAAUAUAUCUACAAUUCCCCCUUUUGAUCUCUCCCCAGAGAGAUCACCCCUAUUCGCCAAGCUCCAGUUCUCCCGGGUCAUGCUGCUCCAGUAGAGGCAUCAGCUCCCCUGGUGGCGGUCCUGGAGCCUCCUCAAUGGCUGUAGAGAUCACUCUCAUGGCAAGCCCUCUUAUGCAUGGGAUACAACAACACACACAAGUAACCAUUAUAGCACCAAAUGUAGAAAGUGAUAAAAGAACAGACAUUAUCAAACCUUUCCACUGGCCGAACAUCGAGGUCAUCCAUUCCUCCAGCGGAUUAUCUAUCCCAGAAUGCUCGUAUGUGACCCCUUGACAUAGUCCAAUUCAAUCCCCCAAAUUUCCUCAAACAGGUGUCCUCAGGUGGGGUCGUGAACCUCUUUGCUGAGGGAAUGAAGACCCGAUGCCAACCUGGGAAACCUGUAACAACAUACAACACACAUCAUUAUGCCACCAAUGUCCCAUAUACCAUUUCAUUCUACUAUCAUCUCCCCAGACCUUUCUCUGUAACCCUGUCAUCUUGGUACGAGUGGUAUGAGCCACUCGAAGCAGGUCGUGUAUCGCCAUUGUCGACCCCUAUGUGUGAAAGAAAAAAUAUUACGAAGUUCCUCUGCUAGUGGGAGACAGAAAAAAGCGUUAGCCAGGUCAAUGCAGGUGAACCAUUUUUACGUCUUACAGCUGUGAGUACCAUACGUUUGGCGCCUGAGUGAGUGUCCAAUCAGUGCAUUCGACUGCCCUUUUAACCAUGGGCCCCAGGUCUUUUGCUUGGUGUUUAGGAUGCAGGGCCAGCGACACAUGUGGGACGGACUCCUCCGCCAUCAUGUACCACUGAUCCUGCUCGUCUGUCAACUGUACAUCUGC
ensembl:lncRNA